UACGAAGGGAGCUAGCGUUGUUCGGAAUCACUGGGCGUAAAGCGCACGUAGGCGGAUGUGUCAGUCAGGGGUGAAAUCCCGGAGCUCAACUUCGGAACUGCCUUUGAUACUGGCGAUCUUGAGUCCGGGAGAGGUGAGUGGAACUGCGAGUGUAGAGGUGAAAUUCGUAGAUAUUCGCAAGAACACCAGUGGCGAAGGCGGCUCACUGGCCCGGUACUGACGCUGAGGUGCGAAAGCGUGGGGAGCAAACAGG
rnacentral:rRNA from 1 species